UACGAAGGGGGCUAGCGUUGUUCGGAAUUACUGGGCGUAAAGCGCGCGUAGGCGGAUCGAUCAGUCAGGGGUGAAAUCCCAGAGCUCAACUCUGGAACUGCCUUUGAUACUGUCGAUCUAGAGUCCGGAAGAGGUGAGUGGAAUUGCGAGUGUAGAGGUGAAAUUCGUAGAUAUUCGCAGGAACACCAGUGGCGAAGGCGGCUCACUGGUCCGGUACUGACGCUGAGGUGCGAAAGCGUGGGGAGCAAACAGG
rnacentral:rRNA from 1 species